UUAAGUAUAUGAUUUACUUUAUCAAAUGAGCUUGGGAUUUAAUUGAGAUAUUAAAUUGCUAAGCAUAUGUUUAUAAAUGAUUUAUUUAUUUAAGUGAUGAAAAUGUGCGAAGUAUGAGAAAGCAUGAUUUAUAAUGAUUAAAUUUUCAGGGUAAUAAUAUAUAGCUUGUUCUUAAUUGAUGGAGUACUUGACUAAAUGACGGGUGUAGAAGGAAGUUAUGGAUUAUGUACAUGUUGAUGUUCGAACAAUUGGGUUCGAACCUAUAUGAUAGUUACAUGAUAAGUGAUUACAUUUUAUUGAUUGAAUGAAACGAGAUUAAUAUGGAUGCUGCUAGAACCCUAAAACUUUAAAAGAUACCCUAGGCACGUAGAAUUAGACUUUGUCUUAUGACAAUUUCUUCACGAACUUAUCGACUCUUCAUCAAUGAAGGUCCGGGCGACAGAAAGUGAAGCCGAAGAAUAAGCGACUCCACGCCAGCUUUAAGAACGUUUAAGGUUGAGCAGGCGAUGGAAUGGAUCGGUGUUGAGCGGAUUUCCCUUUUGAUGUUUAUGUAAUGAAACCUUGAGUAUGCAUCUCCAUAUGCAUAACUCACACGUUUUUCCGCUGCAAACACUCUGAAUUUGUUAUCGUAUUGUGGAACUUAUUACUCCUUCAUUUUGUUUAA